UGCUGUUAUAAGCUCGUAGUUGGAUUUCAAGAGACGCAGCAUGGAUAACAUGUCUGCCCUCUACCAGUCAUAGACUGUUACUGUGAGAAAAUUAGAGUGUUUCAAGCAGGCUGUUGCAGGAAUACAUUAGCAUGGAAUAACGAGUGUGUCUAGAAUCUUGGUUAAUUCUAGAUUACGAUUAAUAGGGACAGUUGGGGGCAUUAGUAUUUAAUUGUCAGAGGUGAAAUUCUUGGAUUUAUUAAAGACUAACGUAUGCGAAAGCAUUUCG
rnacentral:rRNA from 1 species